rnacentral:rRNA from 1 species
UGAGGAAUAUUGCGCAAUGGGGGAAACCCUGACGCAGCGACGCCGCGUGAGUGAGGAAGGUUUUCGGAUCGUAAAGCUCUGUCAGAAGGGAAGAAGUGUUAUAUGGUUAAUACCGUAUAAU